GAUCAUUGCAACCCAGUUCCUGUCCAGUCUCCCGCAACCUGGGUCUCUGAGGGUGCGGGGAAGUCACCGGGAGCUUAGCCUAACCCCACCCCCGUGUUUUUAUUGGCUAAGACAUUGGGAUCCAAUCUGGCGAUUGGUUGCUGCCCUUGUCCAUUUACCAGGGGUGGGUGCUUGGUAUAUUAAGGGUCGGAGACAUUCAAUACUUUUAUUAUAUAAAAGUUCUUCUGUGUAAUGUUGCACUCGUGUGCUUCGGGCGCGACCGGGGAACAGAACAUAUACCAUCGAACAUGGGUUUCGGUGGCACAACACAGGGCAAUGUAGUAACUACGGUUCGGAAGGAACGUUACUUGUAAAGGUGUUGUGUGAACAACGUGGCUAGUAAUAAACGCAUAAUAAAACAUUUCGCUGCAGUUCACCUUCAGUGAGGAAAUUGACCAGGCUAUACGACCCAUAUAUAUAUAUAUAUAAUUAUGUUGUAAAAUAUCACUACCAGAGAAUUCCAAAAUAUAAACUAAUAAACCGUAGGUCAUAAACUGUAUGGUAUUUUAGUUCAUACAGUGUCGCUCCAAAUGAUCUGUGUGUCUUGUACAAUAUAUAAUUAGGUCUUGCCUCUUUGCUCAGUUAACUUUAUUAAGUACAGGAAGCUUCAAGAAAAUGACUGAUGUUACCUCUUGGACAGUACUUGAUAUAUAUGUGUGGGAUAACUCCCACAUAUGCUGUAUACUUUCAGGGUCUUACUGUUCAUAACUGCUUGAUAUUUGUUUCUUGAGAAGAGGAAAUGCAUCAGAUAUGUGAAUGUUGAGUUCUUUUUUCCAAGUCAGUUUUCACCUUUGUAAGCCACCGUGUAUCAUUCAUCUUCAUACUCUUACUAUCUGGUGAUUGCCUUCCAUUGGGUGAGACUGUUUUGAGUGAAAAACUACUUAAGUCUAGUGGUCUGGUUUUUAUAGCCAGCUUAUCAUUUGGAGUAGCUGUUAAUUCCUAACCUCUGUCCAGGUAAAGCCAAAGGAUAAGUAGAAGGUUGAGGUCUUUGUAUAAGCUCUUCUUUUCUUUUUCAUUCUGCUUUAUAGAGAUGGGAGAGCAAAGGAUUAUUUAAAUGGUUAAUAGUGGAUUGCUGUAGUGAAUCUUAGGGGCAAAGAUCUAGAUUGCACUAGGGUUGUAGCACAAUCAAUGGUAGUGUGUGCCUAGCAUGUCCAAGAGCCUGGGUUCUGUCCCCCAUACAGCAAGAAAAGAAAAAAAAAAAGAUCCAGCUUUCUUGUUCUUCAGCCAGAGAAUGUGGAAGAAAGCUUCGCUUGUCUUUUUUAAAAUUUUAUUUUAUGACUGUGGUCUGUUGCUGUAGCUUAAGAAGGUCUAGUGUAAAGAAAGCCUAUUUUGACUUUAGAUAUUGCUAAUAUUGGAAGUGUUGAGAAAGAGGAAGUAUGAACCGGAAGAAGAGAAAAGGCAGCCCUCUUGAGGAAAGAUCGAAUAUAGAUGAGAGCUGUUGAAUGUGAAAGUCAUUUCAGAAGUGAAAGUAUGGUUUUUUUCCUUCUUUUUAUGAAAUUCUUUUUAUUUUUCUCUACUAAACUGUUGGUCUCAUCAAUGUAUAUAGUUCUUUAAUAAGUCUUGUUGUAUCUAACCUGUGAAUCACUUUGCAAAUCUCUUGCUGUGACCUGGGAAGCAGCCCAGUGGUACAGCACGUGCUCAGCAUGCUGAAUUCAGGCACCAACAUGAACACAAACAGAAAAACCUGUUUGCCAGAAAGUUCUUUGUUUUGCUUUUAGUACAACAAAGUGAUCCCCCCUCCAAAACAAAAACAAAAACAAAAACAAC